UUUUUUUUUUUUUUUUUUUUUUUACGUAAAAAAAACCAUUCAACAUGUUUCAUAGAAAAUCACAAACAUCUCUCAAACUUCUAGCAAAAUGUGGUCUUCAAUAUUAUAACAACGAAGAGAUAAGUUCCCAGACUAAUAUGGCACAUUCUUGGGAAGGUUCCUGAUAACAUUAUUCUUCAAGCCAAUUUUGGUACGCGUUGCCUCUACACCUGAGCGAUUCAUUUCCUUCAUCACUUUCAUCCU
rnacentral:misc_RNA from 1 species